CCUACGGGUGGCAGCAGUGGGGAAUAUUGCGCAAUGGGCGAAAGCCUGACGCAGCGACGCCGCGUGAGGGAUGAAGGUCUUCGGAUCGUAAACCUCUAUCAGCAGGGAAGAACGGUCACUGUGCUAAUCAGCAGUGAAUUGACGGUACCUGCAAAGGAAGCCCCGGCUAACUCCGUGCCAGCAGCCGCGGUAAUACGGAGGGUGCGAGCGUUAAUCGGAAUUACUGGGCGUAAAGCGCUCGUAGGCGGUAUGUCAAGUCAAGGGUGAAAUCCCCGCGCUCAACGUGGGGACUGCCGUUGAAACUGGCAAACUGGAGUGGGUGAGAGGAUAGUGGAAUUCCAGGUGUAGGAGUGAAAUGCGUAGAUAUCUGGAGGAACAUCAGUGGCGAAGGCGACUAUCUGGCACAUAACUGACGCUGAGGAGCGAAAGCGUGGGUAGCAAACAGGAUUAGAUACCCUGGUAGUC
rnacentral:rRNA from 1 species